GCAGUGCUGGGCUGCCUCAUGGUUCUCCCUUAUAGACCAAUUUGUCUCUUUCUUUCAAUCUCUUUCUUCUUUGGAUCUGGCAAAGAUGUCUCAUCUUUUGAGAAAUCCAGCAAAGCAUCACAUUUCCUAUGAUGAAACUCGCCUAGGAAGCAGCCUGAGGCUUCUUCAUCGACAUGGAAAUAAAGACUCCGGGCAAUGUUUUUCCUCUAUUUCCAGUGUUGUCAGCCACAUACUCGGGAUAACAGUCAGGCACAAGGCACAUGUUUGUAGUUGGGAAUCUGGCUGCAAGGAGUCAGACACACUGAUGGUCAAGAUGUUCUGGUUCAGAAGUUAGAAAAUAAAUAAUUCCUGAGAGGAAGGAUUCCUCGGCCCUGGGCAGCUGAUACGGCAAUAAAAUAAAUAGGCAGUAAAGCACACUUCCUGUUUUGAGAGUUCACAUUUCACAUUGGCAAAGCGCAUCUCUUAAAUGCAGUCUCAUGCUUCCAUAAAUAAACCUGGCACCUUUUAAAACACUUUCCCAUCUGCUUCAGGAUGAGGAGAGCAUUAUUGAAUACACCUUGGGGAGCCUCAGCAAUGGGAAGACUACCUGUGAGGAGCAUACCAUUGCCUUGGCCUUGGCCCAGAAACCCCAUCACCGGACAGCUGGAGUUUCAUGUGCUUUAACUGGACCCCGUGGAGAUCUGCAACCCCUGCUCUUCACUUGAAGUCCUUGUGUGCAUUUUUGCACCAGGCAGAAAGGGUCUCAGGUGUUGUCAGGAUUGGGCACCUCUGUGGGCUUCUUUGCUCUCAUAGCUGGGCAGUUCACAUUCAGCUCCUGUGACUGUGCUCCAAUAUAUCAAUUCAGCUUCCUAAGAGGAAGAGUUUCAAAAAGCCAUUAGCCUCCUGUGUUGGAGCCCAGAGGAAAAGGUCUGGUGUUUCCAGAAGUUUUCCCAGGCUCACAGAAUUCAACUCUGCUCCCCUGGUCAGUGGUGGGAAGCAGGGAUUCAGUGUCAUGGGGCAACGAUUUAGGUCCUACUGGUCUCAUAAACAGUGAUCUUAGACAGGUAAGGAAGUAAGUAUAUUCUAAGUGAGUUGUAAGAGAAAGCAAAAUAGGAACUAAAAAACUUAACUGACUUGGAGCUUGGAACCAACGAAGCUAACCCACAUUAAUUAUUAUUAGCUUCUUCUCACUCUCGAGUCAACACCUAAGAUAAUCAACUUACAAAAAGAAAAUGACUAUUUUGGUUCAUGGUUUUAGAGGAUUCAGUUUAUGAUCAGUUUGCCUCUUAUUUUGGAAAAGGCAGUGUAUCACGAUAGUGGCCAAGACAAACUACUCACCUCGUACCUGGAAAGCCAGAGACAGAGAGAAACAAGGGACAAAAAUCCUAUAAUGCCCUUCAAGGGUGCAUCCCCACUUGACAGAAACCUCCCACUAGCCUUCACUUUCCAUUUGACUCCACCCCUUAAGACACUACUACAUCAAAACACUUAAAACACAAACCAUAGAAAACUAUUUCUAUUAUUGUACUUUCCCAGGCAAUCUUGAUGAGUUCAUUGGGGGCAGAAACUGCUUGGUUGGAGGACUAAGGAAAGGACAGUUAGCAUUCAAUAUAUACAUUUAGUAUUAGACAUUAGUUACUCUCCUACAUUUUAUUUAUUUAUAUAUUGUGCAUGAGUGCAUCUACACAUGUGAGGAGGUCAGGGGACCCCGGGGAUUGAACUCAGGUCUUCAGGAUUGGCAGCAAGUACCUUUUCUAGUCAGACCCUCAGCUUGAAAAAUGUUUUCUAGUUACGUGUGUAUUAUUACUUUAAUAUUACAAUGUUUACAAUAUUAACAUACAUUGAUUAUAUACAAUAGUGCA